rnacentral:rRNA from 1 species
GACGAACGCUGGCGGCGUGCCUAAUACAUGCAAGUAGAACGCUGAAGGAGGAGCUUGCUUCUCCGGAUGAGUUGCGAACGGGUGAGUAACGCGUAGGUAACCUGCCCGGUAGCGGGGGAUAACUAUUGGAAACGAUAGCUAAUACCGCAUAAGAGUAGAUGUCGCAUGACAUUUGCUUAAAAGGUGCAACUGCACCACUACCAGAUGGACCUGCGUUGUAUUAGCUAGUUGGUGAGGUAACGGCUCACCAAGGCAACGAUACAUAGCCGACCUGAGAGGGUGAUCGGCCAAACUGGGACUGAGACACGGCCCAGACUCCUACGGGAGGCAGCAGGAGGGAAUAUUCGGCAAUGGACGGAAGUCUGACCGAGCAACGCCGCGUGAGUGAAGAAGGUUUUCGGAUCGUAAAGCUCUGUUGUAAGAGAAGAACGAGUGUGAGAGUGGAAAGUUCACACUGUGACGGUAUCUUACCAGAAAGGGACGGCUAACUACGUG